GAUACAUAUGCCUAAAGUGAGAGUUUUACAGAAGUGAACAAGAACUGUGUACUGUUGACCUCUUUAACCCUUUGCUUACCGCUGGUACAGCAGGUGGACCACAUGCGAUGGUACAACGCGGUUUACCGUAAGCAAAGGGUCAAGUAAUGAGGGUGUUUACAACUUCGCGCCUAAAGAACUUAGAGGGAGAAGUUGCUUCACUUGCUCAGAAUUUCCAAGAUUAAAAGAAGAAUAAGGAUUGCAACAUAAAUUCUAAUAAGAAUCAUUGAUUAUUUCAUUUCAUUUCUAAACGCUUAAA